CCUACGGGAGGCAGCAGUGGGGAAUUUUGGACAAUGGGGGCAACCCUGAUCCAGCCAUUCCGCGUGAGUGAAGAAGGCCUUCGGGUUGUAAAGCUCUUUCAGCGGGAACGAAACGGUACGCUCUAACAUAGUGUGCUAAUGACGGUACCCGCAGAAGAAGCACCGGCUAACUACGUGCCAGCAGCCGCGGUAAUACGUAGGGUGCGAGCGUUAAUCGGAAUUACUGGGCGUAAAGCGUGCGCAGGCGGAUUGUUAAGCAAGAUGUGAAAUCCCCGGGCUUAACCUGGGAAUGGCAUUUUGAACUGGCAAUCUAGAGUGUGUCAGAGGGGGGUAGAAUUCCACGUGUAGCAGUGAAAUGCGUAGAGAUGUGGAGGAAUACCGAUGGCGAAGGCAGCCCCCUGGGAUAACACUGACGCUCAUGUACGAAAGCGUGGGUAGCAAUCAGGAUUAGAUACCCUGGUAGUCCACGCCCUAAACGAUGUCAACUGGUUGUUGGGAGAGUGAAAUCUCUUAGUAACGAAGCUAACGCGUGAAGUUGACCGCCUGGGGAGUACGGUCGCAAGAUUAAAACUCAAAGGAAUUGACGGA
rnacentral:rRNA from 1 species